rnacentral:rRNA from 1 species
GAUUAGAGUUUGAUCCUGGCUCAGAUUGAACGCUGGCGGCAUGCCUUACACAUGCAAGUCGAACGGCAGCAUGGAGGAGCUUGCUCCUCUGAUGGCGAGUGGCGAACGGGUGAGUAAAGCAUCGGAACGUACCGUGUAGUGGGGGAUAACGUAGCGAAAGUUACGCUAAUACCGCAUACGCACUGAGGUGGAAAGCAGGGGAUCGCAAGACCUUGCGCUAUACGAGCGGCCGAUGUCAGAUUAGCUAGUUGGUAGGGUAAAGGCCUACCAAGGCGACGAUCUGUAGCGGGUCUGAGAGGAUGAUCCGCCACACUGGGACUGAGACACGGCCCAGACUCCUACGGGAGGCAGCAGUGGGGAAUUUUGGACAAUGGGGGAAACCCUGAUCCAGCCAUGCCGCGUGAGUGAAGAAGGCCUUCGGGUUGUAAAGCUCUUUCGGCUGGGAAGAAAUCGCACAGGCUAAUACUCU